rnacentral:lncRNA from 1 species
CUUGGCUCAAAAGAUGGUUCUCUCUUAAAUUUUAAUUCCUAAAACAUUACCCGUGUUUUGGUUUUUUAAGAAAGAUGCAUAAUGUUUUAUUGUUUGGGUUUUUUUAAGGUAUUAUUUUGACUCCCAUUAGAAAAAAACAAUCAAAUACUUCAAAUAGAGAUGGACAUAGUAAAAAUGCUGGGUUGACUGAUGACUGUAACUUGAUACCUACGUAUAAAAAGUCUUUCCAAAAAAGCCGAGAUCCUAACUUCAAGAGGCAGAGAAUCAAAAAAAUGUGCAACCAGGAAUGUCCGCGCUUAAAAGAAAAUCAUGUGUAUUCAACUGACAGAGAUGAGAAAGGACGGACAAAUGUUGACCUUUCAAAGAAGUACUACAGGUUACAGUUGCAAAGGCGAGAAAAAACCAAAGAUCAAUAACGCCUUUCAAGAGUAUUUUGGAUCUUGUUGCAGAACGUUGAAGAACAGCAUUUUUAACAGUGACGCACUGUCGCAGCAAUACAAGCCCUUGGAGAAUUUAGAUUGGCUUGGACUCCUGUUUUCAGUGAUAACAUUCAUGACAGAGUUGUUCCGCUUUGUAAAUUGAAGUAACAUGUCAUUGCCUACGUUUGUUAUUUUGGCGGGGGGUUUUGCCUGCC